rnacentral:rRNA from 1 species
AGUGAACGCUGGCGGUAGGCCUAACACAUGCAAGUCGAACGGCAGCACAGUAAGAGCUUGCUCUUACGGGUGGCGAGUGGCGGACGGGUGAGGAAUACAUCGGAAUCUACUUUUUCGUGGGGGAUAACGUAGGGAAACUUACGCUAAUACCGCAUACGACCUACGGGUGAAAGCAGGGGAUCUUCGGACCUUUCGCGAUUGAAUGAGCCGAUGUCGGAUUAGCUAGUUGGCUGGGUAAAGGCCCACCAAGGCGACGAUCCGUAGCAGGCCUGAGAGGAUGAUCAGCCACACUGGAACUGAGACACGGUCCAGACUCCUACGGGAGGCAGCAGUGGGGAAUAUUGGACAAUGGGCGCAAGCCUGAUCCAGCCAUACCGCGUGGGUGAAGAAGGCCUUCGGGUUGUAAAGCCCUUUUGUUGGGAAAGAAAAGCAGCAGGUUAAUAUCCCGCUGUUCUGACGGUACCCAAAGAAUAAGCACCGGCUAACUUCGUG